AUGGUUGCUUCUUUGGUUCUGUGUCACCAUUCUUUAGUACUAUGUUCAUUCAUCUUCUUAUUUGACCUGAGGUGCGUCGGCUCUAGUGUAACCACAACUCUGCAAAUAAGCCAUGUAACUUUCCAGCUUUGUUUUGAUAAUAAAAGGGUUGUUUUGUUCAUCAUGUUUUAUUGUUUUUAUUGCACGCAUUUGCAGCAGGAAUGUAGGACACUCUCUAACGUUAUUCGAUUGGAAGAACAACAACAGCAACAAAAAACAGAUUUGCUAAAAUUAGCUAUUGCACAUCUAACUGUACCACCGUUGGAUGAAAGCCCUCUAAGAUUUGUACUUUCUUUUCCAAUGCGAGAUUGUGUUGUUGUUUUUGCGCGGCCUAUGGGCUGGUUUGUUGCCUGCAAUGCAUACUAG
rnacentral:rRNA from 1 species